UUGGCGGCGUGGUUAAGACAUGCAAGUCGAACGGGAUUUUUUGUGUAGUAAUACAUAAAAAGUCUAGUGGCGAACGGGUGCGUAACACGUGAGCAAUCUGCCGGGAAGUGGGGGAUAGCUCGCCGAAAGGCGAAUUAAUACCGCAUGUGGCCAGAGGGGACAUCCCUUCGACGCCAAAGUCGCAAGACGCUUCCUGAUGAGCUCGCGGCCUAUCAGCUUGUUGGUGAGGUAAUGGCUCACCAAGGCUUUGACGGGUAGCUGGUCUGAGAGGACGACCAGCCACACUGGAACUGAGACACGGUCCAGACACCUACGGGUGGCAGCAGUCGAGAAUUUUUCACAAUGGGGGCAACCCUGAUGGAGCGACGCCGCGUGGAGGAUGAAGGUCUUCGGAUUGUAAACUCCUGUCAUGCGAGAACAAGAAAGUGAUAGUAUCGCAAGAGGAAGAGACGGCUAACUCUGUGCCAGCAGCCGCGGUAAUACAGAGGUCUCAAGCGUUGUUCGGAUUCAUUGGGCGUAAAGGGUGCGUAGGUGGCGUGGAAAGUUGAGUGUGAAAUCCUAGGGCUUAACCUUAGAACUGCACUCAAUACUCCCAUGCUAGAGGAAUGUAGAGGAGAGUGGAAUUCACGGUGUAGCAGUGAAAUGCGUAGAUAUCGUGAGGAAGACCAGUUGCGAAGGCGACUCUCUGGGCAUUUCCUGACACUGAGGCACGAANGCCAGGGGANCAAACGGGAUUAGAUACCCCGGUAGUCCUGGNAGUAAACGGUGCACAUUUGGUGUGGGCGGGUUCAGACCCCGUCCGUGCCGGAGCUAACGCGUUAAAUGUGCCGCCUGGGAAGUANNNUCGCAANAUUAAAACUCAAAGAAAUUGACGGGGGCCCGCACAAGCGGUGG
rnacentral:rRNA from 1 species